rnacentral:misc_RNA from 1 species
GAUGAAGAACGUAGCGAAAUGCGAUAAGUAAUGCGAAUUGCAGAAUUUCCGUGAGUCAUCGAAUCUUUGAACGCACAUUGCGCCCGCCAGUAUUCUGGCGGGCAUGCCUGUCUGAGCGUCAUUUCAACCCUCAUGCCCCUAGGGCGUGGUGUUGGGGAUCGGCCAAAGCCCGCGAGGGACGGCCGGCCCCUAAAUCUAGUGGCGGACCCGUCGUGGCCUCCUCUGCGAAGUAGUGAUAUUCCGCAUCGGAGAGCGACGAGCCCCUGCCGUUAAACCCCCAACUUUCCAAGGUUGACCUCAGAUCAGGUAGGAAUACCCGCUGAACUUAAGCAUAUCAAUAAGCGGAGGA